UACGGAAGGUGCAAGCGUUAAUCGGAAUUACUGGGCGUAAAGCGCGCGUAGGCGGCUUCGUAAGUCGGGUGUGAAAGCCCCGGGCUCAACCUGGGAACGGCACUCGAUACUGCGGAGCUCGAGUACGAGAGAGGGGGGUGGAAUUCCAGGUGUAGCGGUGAAAUGCGUAGAGAUCUGGAGGAACACCGGUGGCGAAGGCGGCAUCCUGGACCAACACUGACACUGAGGAGCGAAAGCCAGGGGAGCAAACGGG
rnacentral:rRNA from 1 species